UAAUUAUGACUUACUAUCUCAUGAUUAUGACUUAGUAUCUCAUAAUUAUGACUUACUAUCCCAUAAUUAUGACUUUUCUAUCUCAUAAUUAUGACUUAGUUGAGGACGUUUUUUUUCUUCAGGUGGCGGAAAUGGGCUUCCAUAGGUUUAUACCCCGCACUUCGGGGAGUUAAAACUGUGAUUUAGGGGAUUAAUUUUACCUCGGAACCCGUUUAUACCCCGCAUACUCUUUGCCUCAGGGUUUUAUUCUCAGAGGCUAUUCUGUGGGAUCCGACCAUCCAAUCAAGCCUUAGCUCAUAUCAGUGCGCCUUGGGAAACCAUGACCUGGAUGCUGGAUCACUGAUUGUCCUUGAAGCACUUUUGGUAAGUACUGUCUAAUGCAUACCAGGAAGACACAUCUAGACAUCCCUGAUGUUUUGGAAAUGUUCUGAACCAGUCAUCUACAACAUCACAGUUUGGUCAAAGUGUUUUAGAUUCUUACACAAUUUUCCUGUUUUAACAUGUAAAAUUCGAAAUACUGAUUGCUUACUUGAUGAACAUCUGACACAUUCACCACUUAGUAGAUGAUUUAUGACACAUUUACACCAUGAAGUUAUUUUUUUUACAUUGUUGGUCCAAUAAAUAUGCUUCAUAAUCCUGUUAAAUACAUGUAUUUAUGUGGACUUAUGUUGAAAGAAAGGUAGGUUUUGAAGAACAAAGGUUUUUUUGUGAUACAUGCACUGAUCUUUGAGUGUAAACAGCAAAAAAAAAAAAAAGAAACA